rnacentral:rRNA from 1 species
UACAGAGGUUUCAAGCGUUGUUCGGAUUCAUUGGGCGUAAAGGGUGCGUAGGCGGCGCGGUAAGUCGGGUGUGAAAUCUCGGAGCUUAACUCCGAAACUGCAUUCGAUACUGCCGUGCUUGAGGACUGGAGAGGAGACUGGAAUUUACGGUGUAGCGGUGAAAUGCGUAGAUAUCGUAAGGAAGACCAGUGGCGAAGGCGGGUCCCUGGACAGUUCCUGACGCUGAGGCACGAAGGUCAGGGGAGCAAACAGG